rnacentral:pre_miRNA from 10 species
GAAACAAAGACGAUGAAUUCUUACCUGUUCGUGUUCACCGGGUAGACCUUGAUGGUAUAGAACAAUUAAGGCACGCGGUGAAUGCCAAGGGGGAGAAAAUAUCUUCAUGAAGCCAAA